UACGUAGGGGGCAAGCGUUGUCCGGAAUCAUUGGGCGUAAAGAGCGUGUAGGCGGUCCGAUAAGUCCGCUCUGAAAGCCCGGGGCUCAACCCCGGGAGGCGGGCGGAUACUGUCGGGCUAGAGUCCGGAAGAGGCAAGUGGAAUUCCUGGUGUAGCGGUGAAAUGCGCAGAUAUCAGGAGGAACACCGGUGGCGAAGGCGGAUCUCUGGGCCGUAACUGACGCUGAGGAGCGAAAGCCAGGGGAGCAAACGGG
rnacentral:rRNA from 1 species